UUCGAAAGACUGAGCCGACAAAUUCUCAAGAUUGACGAAGCCACCACUGGCGCCCCGCUAUCAACGGGCAUGUCGCCUACCACUAAAAGAAUAGCACCAGUUAAUUCCUGUAAUAAAUCCAGGAAAAACAGCAUUACCGUGCAACGUUUUUGUUGGAUCUAAUUUGCACAAUCGUAAUGAGACAAUAACACCCAAUUUUCCAAGCUUUGGGUUGGACUUCGGGUAUUGGGUUUUGAGCCCACCCGUAGUAUUGAACAAGGGUAGAAUUAACUAAUAAACUUUUGUUCUCUAACAUUAAGACUUUUGAGCUAACCCUUCAACAUGAAGUAAGGACAACAAUAUAAAAGAGAUACUAUAUGUAUAUCGGCCCACCUCUCAAAUUUUGCAAAAAUGAGAAGGAUUACUCAUCCAAAAUGACUAUUCACACCCACAUAUGUAAUUCGGAUUUUAUGCCUAACUAUUUUGUUUGGACCUACCAUGGAAAAAGUGGAGUUAUGAUGGAAGAUGAUGAUGAAAACAACAUUCCAAGAUUGGACUUGAAAGGAUCUUGAUGUCGCCUAGAGGGGGGUGGGGGGUGAAUAGGCGAAUUGACAAUUUAUUCAAAUUUCAACCCACUCGAAUAUUGUACUAGGGCUCGUUGGUCAGACCAGUCUGCUUGACCGAUCAGGAGCUGCGUAGCUCACAAAAUGAUGCUCGAGUCCCUCUUCAACAUCUAACACUAGCAAGUCUUGGAGAGUAGCUUAUGUGGAUAAUUUCCUACUGGAUACAGUAGUUCCUACACACAAGAAGAUCGAAUCAGAAGCACAAAUAUUAUGCUAGAAAUUAACGAGUGAGGCAAACCAAAAGGAGACACAAGGAUUUGUUUCUCCGAAGUUCAGAUUCACCCCUAUGAAUCCUACGUCUCCAUUGAGGUGCCUAUUGGAAUACGAGUCUAUUUCAACUCUCUUCCAACAAGCCGGGUCUCUUUCGACUACUUUCCUUAUUUUCACUAGUUUGAUCUUUUUCCUUGCGGAGGUAAGAUCGUAGCCCUCACAAACUUAUCACUGCUCACCACACCUUGGGAUCUAACCGGCGACGCCUAGCCGUCUAGGAGGCACACCUCCAAGAGUAACAAAUGCUUCAAUGCUUUCUUGACAUCAACCACAAGUGCUCAAGCUAUGGAUUGCUCUUCUCACCUCACAAUUGCUCUCAAUUGACUUCUCUCUACAACCCAACUCACAAGAUCUCACAAGGAUCACACAACCUCACAAAG
rnacentral:lncRNA from 1 species